AACCCAUGGUGAGGGAACCUUCUCAAUAAAUCCUUUUACCUCUCCCAUGCAUUAUAUAGGGUCUCUAAGCCCAUCUGUACGAAGGAAGAGAUAUCAUUCCUCAACUU
rnacentral:snoRNA from 1 species